rnacentral:misc_RNA from 1 species
AAGGAGCACCACGAGAAUCAGGCCCGCCCACAUCGUGUGGGGGUUCGGUGAUCUGAUCGAUUCGUUGGAUGGCCUUUCAUCUGUAGUGGAUGGGGGUCUGGUGCACAUGACAAACUUGGCCGAGCCGGUAGGGAAUGCCGGCGAGGGAAAUCAUCAGACACACUAUUGGGCUUUGAGACAACAAGCCCGUGCCCCUUUUUUUGGGGGUGGCUCUGCGUUGGCAGGGUCGGCGUGUUGUUGCCCCGCUUUGGUGGUGGGGUGUGGUGUUUGAUUCGUGGAUAGUGGUUGCGAGCAUCUGAAUGCACAGCGCUUGUGGUGUUGUGUGUUCGGUGUAAUGCAAAUUUUUCUGAUACUCGCAUGCAGUCCCUUUUUGGGGGUGUGUGUGGGUGACUCAUUUUUUGGUUUUGUGUUGUAAGUGUUUAAGGGCGC